CAAUGGGCAGUAGAUAAUGACAUGUGGCAAGCUAGAGUUGAUAGCAUUAAGCAUUUAUUUGAAGAAGCAAGAAUUGAUUCAGGGAAGAGUGAAAUAGAUGCAGAGGUUGUGAAAAAGGUUUGGGACAAGAUAGCACCUUCUAUGGCUUAACAGUUUGAUACU